UGUAGUAGAUGUAAACAAAAACAUGAUCCGAAAUCUGAACGUUAAUUUUCAUGAUUAUUUCACGACGAAGAUCCUCACAUCAAUGAAUCAAAUAAUACGGACAUGCCUUUGGUAUUAGCAGGGUGCUUUCACCAUAUACAACAAUACUUUCAUCUGUGAAUACCCACUUUCUAAGCCCACCAUGAACUACGAAGGUCAUUAAUAUGUAAGGACACCAAUGAACAGACACUUUCCAAUUAUGGUACAUCAUGUACAUGGGUGGUCAAACUCACUGGAUGGUUUAUCAACACUCCCAUGCUCACGAACAGCCUUGCUCCAAGGAAUUUUGCCCUGAAGUAACAUUGCAGUCUAUUGUCUCCUUUCUUUUUACAACCCUGGCAGCCAUGCAGGAUAGAAGCUGAUCUCUUGUACUUGACAGCAAAUAAUAAUGUCUUGGACAAGUCAAAGAAUUUCCUCCAGUCUUACAGAGAAAUGACAGUUGCUAAAAGAAUGGUGGACAGAAAGUAAAAAUGCUCUUCAACAUUUUGUUGAAGAUUUCAGUCUGAUUUGGAAUUCAUCUUGCAAUAUUUCUGGAUUUAUAUAUUUGGAUAUAAGCGUCAAAUUUUCAACUUAUUGACUAAACAGUUUUGUGUUAAAUAUUGCCAAUGCUAUCUAUUUAUUUAUUAUUAUUUCCCUCCAAGAUAACAUGUCAAGUCUUUAUUGUACCCCUUAAGCUCUGUUAUACCAGAAAAAUCUUGUAAUGAAAUCAUUUAGUUUUUUUCUUGUUACAUUAAAUCCAUGAAAAUAAAGAUUAUUUUUAAUGGCAUCAAGUGAAUGGAUUUCUUGUUUAACAAAAAGAUAGUAUACAUGUUUUGCUAGGGCUUUGUAAGAAGCAAACCAGAAUUCUUUGCUUGCAAAUUUUGUCGUUCGCCAUUUUUAUUACAUCAACUAUUAGAUGAUUUAUCCAUGUUUGAAGCAUUUCAAAAUUGAUAUUUACUUACAGUUUAAAGCAGAAUUCUGUACUGAUAUGACCUUGACCCCCCAAAGAACGAGAGUGUCAAGGUCAAUUUUUAAUACAAAAAUGUUCUUUCGUCUUUAUGGCCCAUAUCUUACAAACAAUAUCAUGAAAUAUACAAAAAGUGUCUAGAAUGUGUCCAGAAUGUGAAAUAACAAACAUGUAUAUAGCCAAAAACUUUAAAAUGAUGUUGCUUAGCAACCACUUAAAGGUCAUUAAACAGAUAUUUGAAAUAAAAUGAUGCAUGGAUAUUGCAAUUUUGAUCCCUUCUUGAGAGUAUAUUCAGAAUUUUCCAUUUCAGCAUCCAUUGUGUAAAAUUAUGGCAAGAAUAUUGAAAAGUGUUGAAAAAAAUUGAUGAAUCUUUUGCAAUUAUUUGACCUUUGACCUCCUAAAAGUAGUUCUAAUGAGGUCAAACUUUAAGACAAUUUAUCUGUUGUAUGUCCCUUGUAAUUUUAUGACCUCACAUCUAACUUUAUAUGUGCUGGGAUGCAUAAAUGUGUCUAGGAUAAGUAAAAAAUGAAAAUUUCUGCCCGAAAAUUAAAGAAUUCUGCGUUGCUUAGCAACCCCUUUUAAGUA